UACGUAGGGUGCGAGCGUUAAUCGGAAUUACUGGGCGUAAAGCGUGCGCAGGCGGUUCGUUAAGUCAGAUGUGAAAGCCCCGGGCUCAACCUGGGAACUGCAUUGAACUGGCGGGCUUGAGUGUGGCAGAGGGGGUGGAAUUCCGCGUGUAGCAGUGAAAUGCGUAGAUAUGCGGAGGAACACCGGUGGCGAAGGCGGGUCUCUGGGCCGUAACUGACGCUGAGGAGCGAAAGCGUGGGGAGCGAACAGG
rnacentral:rRNA from 1 species